GGUGUUUUUCUCAGCAUCUGCAGGAACUCUGUGUGGAAAGAUUGUAUGCAUUUGGCCUUGAUGAAAUAUCUCUAUGAUAAAUAGAAAUAUAUGAAAGAUACAAUUAUAAGAAGGUGGGUAAAAUAUUGCACCACUAGCAGGAUAAAACUGAACUUUUCUUACAAAACGAGUGAGUCAUCUUCCCAAACAUGUGCGAUCUUCGGCAUUGUGGCCUCUCAGCUCCACGUGUUCAGACAAACAGAAAAAUGAUCCAACUCAGAAAGUGCUGAAAAGGCACGUUCUUAUCUCAGCCAGGUGCAUCUUUCUGCAGGCACCAGCUCUCCUUUCAGUGGCUGGAGCCUUCAUGUGGUUUUGCUCUCCACUCAGCCUGUGGAUCCUCUGACCCUGCUGGUCUUUGGGUGACUUGUUGCAUUGAGAUGAAGGCCUGCUUCUGUUCUGCCUUUGUGAGAUGAAGAAACAGCUCCCUUCCUAAUUAUGAUAUUUCAGGAAGCCGUGGAGCAUGCUCGGUGCAGGCUGGCUACAUUUGGGCUUUAUGGGACGCCAGUGUGGAUGCCGGCGUCACUCACGUGUCGCUGCUCACCAAGGUAAACGUCUGCGCUGCAGGGAGGAGAAGAAGAGAGGGAGAAUGCAAAUAAGAGCUCUGGGCUCGGCGUCUCAGGCUCAGGAGUUUGGAAGCUACAAUCAGCAGAAGCAGAAUGGGUCACUGUUGCUAGGACAAGAAAAACAACAGCAGCAACGGCAGCUCGGACUAACUUCCUGUAGGCUACCUGCCCAGCACCGGCAGCAGACACAGUGAGGGACCAGCUGGGGAUGGAGACCAAACCAGAGUUAAACGGAGAGCGAAUAUUCCUCCGCCCUGAGGUGGCUCAAGUAAAUCCCGUAAUGCAGCUCUAAAUCACUAUGCAUUACUUGCCUUGACUGACAGGUGUCUCAGCCUAUAGUCUUUCUGGCUGCACUGAUAUGGGGUCAAAAGCAUUUUGGGACUUAAAAAUGGAGUCACACGCCAGAGAAAGUUGAAGAGUUCUUAGCACAAAGACACACCCACACACACCUGUUUUCGGUGGUAGUGUUCGUUGGCGAGCUUGUCAGUUCUUGCUCUCUGCUUUCGUCAUCCUCAAAAGGCUGAAGGUUUACAAUCUCCACAUGCUGAGGCUCCAUACCCAGGUCCAGAAUCACCACCCUAUUGCUUUCACACAGCUGAAACACAAACACACAAAGACCUUAAUUAGAAAAUGGAGAGUUUAGCAUGCUGUGCAUGGCCAUGUUGUGCAGGAAAAGACAUCUAAAGAGCAGUAUUCGUAGAAGGAAUUAGCCAGUUCUCUUUAUUCAAAGCAAACUGGAAGUCCACUUUUUUAAUCAUAGCAAUAGGAAUUGUGCU